CACCUUUCAGCACUAUUCAUUUCACCUUAUUUUGGUAAAUAAUGUCAUAGGGAUACCAUUUUGGUAUUUAACUAAUUUUUUUGCAUUAUUAGGGUAAAAAAGCUGAAGAAAUCCUAGCCAAACAAAAUCAGGAGAAUUUCUUCGACUUUUUUACCUUGAUAAUACAAAAAAAAGUUAAAUACCAAAAUGAUAUCCCCAUGGCAUUAUUUACCAAAAUAGGUGAAAUGAACAGUGUCGAGGGGUUGUUCUUGAAGGAGUGGCGAUACCACCAUUUUUUUCCUCACCAACAUUAGGCCAUGGAUUAAAAAAAACAUAUUUAAAAGGAGGGUAGGCAUAUGGCAACACCAGUAUAUGAGUUGAAAAAAAAAUCCAAGCAUAAUACAAGCCAUUUCCAGGCUCAAAAAAAUAAUUUUAGGGCAGGAGGGUUGUUGUCAGGCAACACCUAAGGAAGGAGGGUUGAGGAGUGGCGGCACCACUGUUGGAAAUCUAAUCGCCUGUGGUGGACGUGACCGCACAGUCACGGGGUGCUUCUCACCCCCGAAACAGCUGCCCAUUUCCCUAAUUCUUUUCCCUAAAGGCAUAUAUAUAUAAGCCCUCUUGUGUUGAAAAAAAAAGUUUGGUAGUUUGGUUUUGUAGAUUUUGUGUUGGGAAGAAAGGAAGCAACAAAUAUGUUGUCUGUUUUUUUUAAUAUUAUUUUUUUAUUUACUUAAUUAGUAUAAAGAAAAUUAUUAUAUACUAAAAUGGUAUGUCCAAAAAUAUGUGAUGUUUUCUAAUUUUUAUUUGUAAUUAUUAUAUAUUUGUUUGUAUUUACACAAUUAAUAUUAAAAUUCUUUUCUAAUUUUCAAGGCU
rnacentral:lncRNA from 1 species